GGAGGCGGCGACGCCCCCCCGACUUGAGACUGGCGCAAGCCAGUCUGUCGCCUCCGCGCCUCAUUCUCGAUGAUGCUGACUUGGGCGGGUCCUUCAUGGACCCGCC
rnacentral:sRNA from 1 species